rnacentral:rRNA from 1 species
AUUGAACGCUGGCGGCAGGCCUAACACAUGCAAGUCGAGCGGAGCGGCGGACGGGUGAGUAAUGCCUAUGAAUCUGCCUGGUCGUGGGGGAUAAAGUCCGGCAACGGGCGCUAAUACCGCAUACUAUCAGAUGAGCCUAGGUCGGAUUGGCUAGUUGGUGGGGUAAAGGCCUACCAAGGGGACGAUCCGUAACUGGUCUGAGAGGAUGAUCAGUCAACUUGGAACGGGGAAAGGGUCCGGACCCCUAGGGGGGGCAGCGGGGGGGAUUUUUGGACAAGGGGCGAAAGCCUGUUCCAGCCAUGCCGGGGGUGGGAAGAGGGUCUUCGGUUUGUAAAGCACUUUAAGUGGGGAGACGUUACCAACAGAAUAAGCACCGGCUAACUUCGUGCCAGCAGCCGGGGUAUAC